UCCCUCGAAAGAGGGCAGUCUCGUCUGAAAGAUCCAACAGACGACGAGGGUUUCGCUCGUUUACCCACUUAAGGGCACAGCUCACGCCACGAGCUGACGACAGCCGUGCAACACCUGUCUUAGCGUUCCCUUGCGGGCACGGUCUUGUUUCCAAAACUUUCGCUAGAUGUCAAACCCUGGUAAGGUUCCCCGGUUAUCGUCGAAUUAAACCACAUGCUCCACCGCUUGUGCGAUCCCCCGCCAAUUCCUUUGAGUUUUAGUCUUGCGACCGUACUUCCCAGGCGGCAGACUUAACGCGUUAGCUACGCUACAAGAAGGGUCGAUACUUCUGAUAGCUAGUCUGCAUAGUUUACGGCGUGGACUAC
rnacentral:misc_RNA from 1 species